CUCCUCUACUGAAUUUCAAGAACCUUUGUCCCUGGAAAAAUCUUCCCUACUUGUCCUGUCUCCUCAGGUGUGCCUCCGCACCACCCUCACCUGGACAACAAAGUGCUCAAGUGACUGGCCUGGGUCCUGGGGGAAGGGCAGCAGGAGUGAGGGACAUGCCCCCUCCCCCCAAAGCCACUAUUGGAAUUAGAAGGUAGAAGGAUGUAGAGAGCAAGAUGGAGUCACUCAUGUCAAGCAGGGGCCUAUGCGGAGCAAUGAUGCCAGCCGUUAAGGGUACCUCGGCUACGAGAUAUCGCCGGGACCAGCACCAGCUGACCACACUCCAGAGCUGAUAACAAGCAGGAGCUGAGCAGGUGGGCCGCCGCCCAAGACUGGCCCAAGACUGAUAGAGCCCUUUAAGCGGGAGAGGAUUUUGGCAGCAAACUGUCAGACUCUCCAGCCAUGACCCCUCUAUGCCUGGCCACUUAAAAAAGGCAGCGGCCCCCGAAGGCUCUGCCCGAUGGAUCCCCCAACAGAACUGAGAUCCUUCGCCACUUGAACAGAAUAAGAAGAAGCAGUAAGUGCCAAGAGCUGACCCGGGACCAGGCCCAGGUCUCGUCUCAAUGAGUCAACACUCAACACGUGGCCCCUCCCCUCUUCCUUCCAUGUCUCCUCCUUUCACUUCCUUUCCCUUCCCUUCUGUUCUUGAGCCAUUCAACCCAAGAGCCAUUUGGAGGGUCCCAGCAAGAGUAUCCAGGUCAUAAGAGCCAAAGAAAGAAUCAGGAAUAUUCCGGAUUGAAAAAGACUCAAGAGACUUCACAGGACAACUAACUAUAGGCAACGUGAGAUCCUGAACUGGACCUUUUUGCUACAGAGGACAUCAUGUGGACAAAUGGUGAAACUUGAAUGGGUCUGAACUUUAGAUGGUAAUGAUGUAUCAGUGUUAAUUUCUUGCACUGAUGGAUGUAUUGUGAUUCCACUGGAGAACAUCCCUGUUUGAAGGAAAUACACAUUGAAAUAUUUAGGGUGGUGGGCAUUGUAUCAACCAACUUCCAAUCGCUUCUUGGCCUUUUGGCUAAGAUCAAGUGCAACCAACUUCCAGUGGUUCAGGGGUAAAGAGUUAUUUGAAUUGUAUUCGCAACCUCUCUGUAAGUUUGAGAUUG